UGCAGGCGCACUCUGUGUCACAUUGAAUUAUAUCCACAUGUGAUGACAAUUUGUUAACCUUGCAAAAGUAAAUUAAAAUCUCGAUUUAUCCAUGUGAUCGUGUCCUUGAGACUGAUCUCAUUGAAUUCGCGUCUUACACUCA